rnacentral:rRNA from 1 species
GCAGUCAGAGGCGAUGAAGGGCGUGCUAAUCUGCGAUAAGCGCCGGUAAGGUGAUAUGAACCGUUAUAACCGGCGAUACCCGAAUGGGGAAACCCAGUGUGACUCGUCACACUAUCAUUAACUGAAUCCAUAGGUUAAUGAGGCGAACCGGGGGAACUGAAACAUCUAAGUACCCCGAGGAAAAGAAAUCAACCGAGAUUCCCCCAGUAGCGGCGAGCGAACGGGGAGGAGCCCAGAGCCUGAAUCAGCAUGUGUGUUAGUGGAAGCGUCUGGAAAGGCGCGCGAUACAGGGUGACAGCCCCGUACACAAAAGCGCAUGUGCUGUGAGCUCGAUGAGUAGGGCGGGACACGUGGUAUCCUGUCUGAAUAUGGGGGGACCAUCCUCCAAGGCUAAAUACUCCUGACUGACCGAUAGUGAACCAGUACCGUGAGGGAAAGGCGAAAAGAACCCCGGCGAGGGGAGUGAAAAAGAACCUGAAACCGUGUACGUACAAGCAGUGGGAGCACAGGUUUACCUGUGUGACUGCGUACCUUUUGUAUAAUGGGUCAGCGACUUAUAUUCUGUAGCAAGGUUAACCGAAUAGGGGAGCCGGAGGGAAACCGAGUCUUAAUUGGGCGUUAAGUUGCAGGGUAUAGACCCGAAACCCGGUGAUCUAGCCAUGGGCAGGUUGAAGGUUGGGUAACACUAACUGGAGGACCGAACCGACUAAUGUUGAAAAAUUAGCGGAUGACCUGUGGCUGGGGGUGAAAGGCCAAUCAAACCGGGAGAUAGCUGGUUCUCCCCGAAAGCUAUUUAGGUAGCGCCUCGUGAAUUCAUCUCCGGGGGUAGAGCACUGUUUCGGCUAGGGGGCCAUCCCGGCUUACCAACCCGAUGCAAACUGCGAAUACCGGAGAAUGUUAUCACGGGAGACACACGGCGGGUGCUAACGUCCGUCGUGAAGAGGGAAACAACCCAGACCGCCAGCUAAGGUCCCAAAGUCAUGGUUAAGUGGGAAACGAUGUGGGAAGGCCCAGACAGCCAGGAUGUUGGCUUAGAAGCAGCCAUCAUUUAAAGAAAGCGUAAUAGCUCACUGGUCGAGUCGGCCUGCGCGGAAGAUGUAACGGGGCUAAACCAUG